rnacentral:rRNA from 1 species
AAGCGACGUUCAACCUCAAAAGAAGCAGAGGGGGCUUAGUGGUGGGGUGACUGCGUACCUUUUGUAUAAUGGGUCAGCGACUUAUAUUCUGUAGCAAGGUUAACCGUAUAGGGGAGCCGCAGGGAAACCGAGUCUUAAUUGGGCGUUAAGUUGCAGGGUAUAGACCCGAAACCCGGUGAUCUAGCCAUGGGCAGGUUGAAGGUUGGGUAACACUAACUGGAGGACCGAACCGACUAAUGUUGAAAAAUUAGCGGAUGACCUGUGGCUGGGGGUGAAAGGCCAAUCAAACCGGGAGAUAGCUGGUUCUCCCCGAAAGCUAUUUAGGUAGCGCCUCGUGAACUCAUCUCCGGGGGUAGAGCACUGUUUCGGCUAGGGGGCCAUCCCGGCUUACCAACCCGAUGCAAACUGCGAAUACCGGAGAAUGUUAUCACGGGAGACACACGGCGGGUGCUAACGUCCGUCGUGAAGAGGGAAACAACCCAGACCGCCAGCUAAGGUCCCAAAGUCAUGGUUAAGUGGGAAACGAUGUGGGAAGGCCCAGACAGCCAGGAUGUUGGCUUAGAAGCAGCCAUCAUUUAAAGAAAGCGUAAUAGCUCACUGGUCGAGUCGGCCUGCGCGGAAGAUGUAACGGGGCUAAACCAUGCACCGAAGCUGCGGCAGCGACACUGUGUGUUGUUGGGUAGGGGAGCGUUCUGUAAGCCUGUGAAGGUGUGUCGUGAGGCAUGCUGGAGGUAUCAGAAGUGCGAAUGCUGACAUAAGUAACGAUAAAGCGGGUGAAAAGCCCGCUCGCCGGAAGACCAAGGGUUCCUGUCCAACGUUAAUCGGGGCAGGGUGAGUCGACCCCUAAGGCGAGGCCGAAAGGCGUAGUCGAUGGGAAACGGGUUAAUAUUCCCGUACUUGGUGUUACUGCGAAGGGGGGACGGAGAAGGCUAUGUUGGCCGGGCGACGGUUGUCCCGGUUUAAGCGUGUAGGUGUGUGUUCCAGGUAAAUCCGGUUCACUUUAACACUGAGGCGUGACGACGAGGCACUACGGUGCUGAAGCAACAAAUGCCCUGCUUCCAGGAAAAGCCUCUAAGCAUCAGGUAACAUCAAAUCGUACCCCAAACCGACACAGGUGGUCAGGUAGAGAAUACCAAGGCGCUUGAGAGAACUCGGGUGAAGGAACUAGGCAAAAUGGUGCCGUAACUUCGGGAGAAGGCACGCUGACACGUAGGUGAAGUGAUUUACUCAUGGAGCUGAAGUCAGUCGAAGAUACCAGCUGGCUGCAACUGUUUAUUAAAAACACAGCACUGUGCAAACACGAAAGUGGACGUAUACGGUGUGACGCCUGCCCGGUGCCGGAAGGUUAAUUGAUGGGGUCAGCGCAAGCGAAGCUCCUGAUCGAAGCCCCGGUAAACGGCGGCCGUAACUAUAACGGUCCUAAGGUAGCGAAAUUCCUUGUCGGGUAAGUUCCGACCUGCACGAAUGGCGUAAUGAUGGCCAGGCUGUCUCCACCCGAGACUCAGUGAAAUUGAACUCGCUGUGAAGAUGCAGUGUACCCGCGGCAAGACGGAAAGACCCCGUGAACCUUUACUAUAGCUUGACACUGAACAUUGAGCCUUGAUGUGUAGGAUAGGUGGGAGGCUUUGAAGUGUGGACGCCAGUCUGCAUGGAGCCGACCUUGAAAUACCACCCUUUAAUGUUUGAUGUUCUAACGUGGACCCGUGAUCCGGGUUGCGGACAGUGUCUGGUGGGUAGUUUGACUGGGGCGGUCUCCUCCUAAAGAGUAACGGAGGAGCACGAAGGUUGGCUAAUCCUGGUCGGACAUCAGGAGGUUAGUGCAAUGGCAUAAGCCAGCUUGACUGCGAGCGUGACGGCGCGAGCAGGUGCGAAAGCAGGUCAUAGUGAUCCGGUGGUUCUGAAUGGAAGGGCCAUCGCUCAACGGAUAAAAGGUACUCCGGGGAUAACAGGCUGAUACCGCCCAAGAGUUCAUAUCGACGGCGGUGUUUGGCACCUCGAUGUCGGCUCAUCACAUCCUGGGGCUGAAGUAGGUCCCAAGGGUAUGGCUGUUCGCCAUUUAAAGUGGUACGCGAGCUGGGUUUAGAACGUCGUGAGACAGUUCGGUCCCUAUCUGCCGUGGGCGCUGGAGAACUGAGGGGGGCUGCUCCUAGUACGAGAGGACCGGAGUGGACGCAUCACUGGUGUUCGGGUUGUCAUGCCAAUGGCACUGCCCGGUAGCUAAAUGCGGAAGAGAUAAGUGCUGAAAGCAUCUAAGCACGAAACUUGCCCCGA